rnacentral:lncRNA from 1 species
AGCAAAUGAUUUGCAGUAAAUGUCAACAUCCUGAGCUGGUUUGGGGACGGAUGACCUUUAAGUCGCUUCCUUCCCGUAUACAAAGAUUCAUUUUUAAGCCUAUCCGACACAUUGGUUAUACAGUAACAGUAUUCUAUUGCGUGUCUGGUCCUCUAUGCAUAUACCUUGCUAAUAACUGCUGACAAUUGUUAUUUUCCUGUUUUUCUCCCAGGGUGACCAAGGAGACAUUGGGCCACGGGGUCCCCCUAACUACAGCACAUAUGCAGGUCUGCACAGUAAUCAGAUUCUCACUGUCAAGGGUGACCAGGGCCAGGCUGGACCUGCUGGUCCUCCCGGUCCCCCAGGUCCUCCUGGUCCCCGAGGGCCCCCUGGAAACACAGGCAAGGAUGGGCCCCGUGGUCCUGCUGGAGAGCCGGUAAGAGCCUCUCCUCAUGCAUCAACUCACUAUACAAAACAAUGCACCCAUACACACCCACACACUCCACUCUGCUGCUGUUAUUCUCCUCCUUCAUCACUCUGCCCCUUUCCCCUUAGCCUCUAACUAAGGUUUCACCACAAAGAAUGCAGUCACUUAAAAC